GGUCGCAAUUAGCAGAGAACCAGAGGAACCACUACAGAGUUGGAUCUGGCUCAGAUUGAACGCUGGCGGCAGGCUUAACACAUGCAAGUCGAGCGGAGAUGAGGUGCUUGCACUUAUCUUAGCGGCGGACGGGUGAGUAAUGCUUAGGAAUCUGCCUAUUAGUGGGGGACAACAUUCCGAAAGGAAUGCUAAUACCGCAUACGUCUACGGGAGAAAGCAGGGGAUCUUCGGACCUUGCGCUAAUAGAUGAGCCUAAGUCGGAUUAGCUAGUUGGUGGGGUAAAGGCCUACCAAGGCGACGAUCUGUAGCGGGUCUGAGAGGAUGAUCCGCCACACUGGGACUGAGACACGGCCCAGACUCCUACGGGAGGCAGCAGUGGGGAAUAUUGGACAAUGGGGGGAACCCUGAUCCAGCCAUGCCGCGUGUGUGAAGAAGGCCUUAUGGUUGUAAAGCACUUUAAGCGAGGAGGAGGCUACUGAGACUAAUACUCUUGGAUAGUGGACGUUACUCGCAGAAUAAGCACCGGCUAACUCUGUGCCAGCAGCCGCGGUAAUACAGAGGGUGCGAGCGUUAAUCGGAUUUACUGGGCGUAAAGCGUGCGUAGGCGGCUUUUUAAGUCGGAUGUGAAAUCCCCGAGCUUAACUUGGGAAUUGCAUUCGAUACUGGGAAGCUAGAGUAUGGGAGAGGAUGGUAGAAUUCCAGGUGUAGCGGUGAAAUGCGUAGAGAUCUGGAGGAAUACCGAUGGCGAAGGCAGCCAUCUGGCCUAAUACUGACGCUGAGGUACGAAAGCAUGGGGAGCAAACAGGAUUAGAUACCCUGGUAGUCCAUGCCGUAAACGAUGUCUACUAGCCGUUGGGGCCUUUGAGGCUUUAGUGGCGCAGCUAACGCGAUAAGUAGACCGCCUGGGGAGAUCGUG
rnacentral:rRNA from 1 species